rnacentral:rRNA from 1 species
AGCGAACGCUGGCGGCAGGCCUAACACAUGCAAGUCGAACGAACCUUUCGGGGUUAGUGGCGGACGGGUGAGUAACACGUGGGAACGUGCCUUUAGGUUCGGAAUAACUCAGGGAAACUUGUGCUAAUACCGAAUGUGCCCUUCUGGGGAAAGAUUAAUCGCCUUUAGAGCGGCCCGCGUCUGAUUAGCUAGUUGGUUGAGGUAAUGGCUCACCAAGGCGACGAUCAGUAGCUGGUCUGAGAGGAUGAUCAGCCACAUUGGGACUGAGACACGGCCCAAACUCCUACGGGAGGCAGCAGUGGGGAAUCUUGCGAAAUGGGCGAAAGCCUGACGCAGCCAUGCCGCGUGAAUGAUGAAGGUCUUAGGAUUGUAAAAUUCUUUCAACGGGGACGAUAAUGACGGUACCCGGAGAAGAAGCCCCGGCUAACUUCGUG